AACGAACGCUGGCGGCAGGCUUAACACAUGCAAGUCGAGCGCCCCGCAAGGGGAGCGGCAGACGGGUGAGUAACGCGUGGGAAUCUACCCAUCUCUACGGAAUAACGCAUGGAAACGUGUGCUAAUACCGUAUACGUCCUUCGGGAGAAAGAUUUAUCGGAGAUGGAUGAGCCCGCGUUGGAUUAGCUAGUUGGUGGGGUAAAGGCCUACCAAGGCGACGAUCCAUAGCUGGUCUGAGAGGAUGAUCAGCCACACUGGGACUGAGACACGGCCCAGACUCCUACGGGAGGCAGCAGUGGGGAAUAUUGGACAAUGGGCGCAAGCCUGAUCCAGCCAUGCCGCGUGAGUGAUGAAGGCCCUAGGGUUGUAAAGCUCUUUCACCGGUGAAGAUAAUGACGGUAACCGGAGAAGAAGCCCCGGCUAACUUCGUGCCAGCAGCCGCCUAAUAC
rnacentral:rRNA from 1 species